rnacentral:lncRNA from 1 species
CAUUAGUUUAAAUUUAAUAUAUGCACCAAUUACUAAUCCAAUUGCAGUAAACUACAUUGAUAGUUAAAGCUUCAUAUAUUUUUUCUUCGACUAAUCUUGUUGCAUGAUGCUUCCGAAUUUUCUUUUAAUAGAAAUCAACUUGGCAUAAUAGACUCAAAUUUUGUGUUUCAACUUUCGAGUUGAACGAAAAAGAAUAAAUAAGAAAGGAUUAAUGAAACAAAAAAUUUACAGUUCCCCCUAUUAGAUAUGACUUCGAUUAGAGCUUCUGUGUCGUCUGCUAGUAUCAGUUUUCCUGAACAAUGAUAUUGAAAGGCUUCAAAAAUUCUUUCUAUUUGGACUCGCUUUCACCUUCGCAUAAGAGUAGCUUCAAGAAUUGGGAAUUUAGAACAGAACAUAGAAGAGAGAAGCUCCUACUUGUUGUCGACAAUUAGCUUCGUUUCUUAAUAUUGUCAACAUAUAGCUUUCUUAGUAGACAUUUUUAUGGCAGAGACGAAAGAAAGAGAUUCAAGCUCUUCAUUCAAUGAGCUCUUGUGCACAGAAGUUCUUUGUUCAUCUCCCAAAUCUCU